rnacentral:rRNA from 1 species
CAGCACCCCAAGUGGUCAGGAUGAUUAUUGGGCCUAAAGCACCCGUAGCCGGCGCUGUAAGUUUUCGGUUAAAUCUGUACGCUCAACGUACAGGCUGCCGGGAAUACUGCAGCGCUAGGGAGUGGGAGAGGUAGACGGUACUCGGUAGGAAGGGGUAAAAUCCUUUGAUCUAUUGAUGACCACCUGUGGCGAAGGCGGUCUACCAGAACACGUCCGACGGUGAGGGAUGAAAGCUGGGGGAGCAAACCGGAUUAGAUACCCGAGUAGUCC